GGUUCCUCCCCUUCCUUAGGCCCAGCCAGAGAGGGGCCCUGUCUCUCUGCUCCUUUCCUCGCCGUCGCCCUCUCUCUGCCAGGCUCUCCUGUUCGUCCUCCAGGGGCCCACGCUAGCCCCUCACCUCCCCUGAAGCCUUUUCUAACCGCUGCGGCCUCCGUGGUCCCCCACGCCUGUGUUCCUGUAGGACGUUUACAGUUCACACGAUGUCUCAUCUCUCGGUAUAUGUCUCCCAGGUGGCAUCUGUGAGCUGCCCUCAGGAAGAGGGGCCAACAGUGACCCCGGGUUUCUUCUCUCCUGGACACUCACCACCUGCCUCAGUUCUUCUAAAACUGGGUCUCCGAG
rnacentral:lncRNA from 1 species